rnacentral:tRNA from 1 species
CGGGAUGUGGCGCAGCCUGGUAGCGCGCUCGCUUGGGGUGCGAGAGGUCGCUGGUUCGAAUCCAGUCAUCCCGAUCA